rnacentral:rRNA from 1 species
AGAGUUUGAUCCUGGCUCAGAUUGAACGCUGGCGGCAGGCUUAAGACAUGCAAGUCGAGCGGUAACAGGGGAGCUUGCUCCUGCUGACGAGCGGCGGACGGGUGAGUAACGCGUAGGAAUCUGCCCAAUAGUGGGGGAUAGCCCGGGGAAACUCGGAUUAAUACCGCAUACGCCCUACGGGGGAAAGGCCGGGAUCUUCGGACCGGUUGCUAUUGGAUGAGCCUGCGUAAGAUUAGCUAGUUGGUAGGGUAAAGGCCUACCAAGGCGACGAUCUUUAGCUGGUCUGAGAGGAUGAUCAGCCACACUGGAACUGAGACACGGUCCAGACUCCUACGGGAGGCAGCAGUCGGGAAUAUUGGACAAUGGGGGCAACCCUGAUCCAGCCAUGCCGCGUGUGUGAAGAAGGCCUUCGGGUUGUAAAGCACUUUAAGCAGGGAGGAAGGGCGUAAGGAUAAUACCCUUAUGCAUUGACGUACCUGCAGAAUAGCCCG